UACGUAGGGUGCAAGCGUUGUCCGGAAUUAUUGGGCGUAAAGAGCUCGUAGGCGGUUCGUCGCGUCGGCUGUGAAAUCCCGAGGCUCAACCUCGGGUCUGCAGUCGAUACGGGCGGACUGGAGUUCGGCAGGGGAGACUGGAAUUCCUGGUGUAGCGGUGAAAUGCGCAGAUAUCAGGAGGAACACCGGUGGCGAAGGCGGGUCUCUGGGCAGCAACUGACGCUGAGGAGCGAAAGCGUGGGGAGCGAACAGG
rnacentral:rRNA from 1 species